rnacentral:rRNA from 1 species
AUUGAGCGCUGGCGGCAGGCCUAACACAUGCAAGUCGAACGGUAACAGAAAGCAGCUUGCUGCUUUGCUGACGAGUGGCGGACGGGUGAGUAAUGUCUGGGAAACUGCCUGAUGGAGGGGGAUAACUACUGGAAACGGUAGCUAAUACCGCAUAACGUCGCAAGACCAAAGAGGGGGACCUUCGGGCCUCUUGCCAUCGGAUGUGCCCAGAUGGGAUUAGCUAGUAGGUGGGGUAACGGCUCACCUAGGCGACGAUCCCUAGCUGGUCUGAGAGGAUGACAAGCCACACUGGAACUGAGACACGGUCCAGACUCCUACGGGAGGCAGCAGUGGGGAAUAUUGCACAAUGGGCGCAAGCCUGAUGCAGCCAUGCCGCGUGUAUGAAGAAGGCCUUCGGGUUGUAAAGUACUUUCAGCGGGGAGGAAGGGAGUAAAGUUAAUACCUUUGCUCAUUGACGUUACCCGCAGAAGAAGCACCGGCUAACUCCGUG